AGCCAUGGCAACACUGGAUCCGAGUCACCUACACCGCAGCUCAUGAUAAUGCUAGAUACUUAACCCACUGAGCCACAAGGAAAACUCCAAUAAGCAUUUAUUUUACCUGAAUAAAUGCCUGUUACAGAAAUGAGUAUAAUGAAGACACCAUGGGAACAAGCAUGAUAGAAGAUUAGACCAGAGAGAAAUUGUUUUACGAGAGAAAAAACUAUAAAGUUUUGAAUAGAAAAAGGAAAUUGCCAGAGAGAAAAAUAUUUACACAAUGGUGCAGGUUUAAAAUGCCCACAAGAAUAUUUAAGGUGUGAUACAAAAAAGAGGGUUUGUGAAUAAUUCUGAGAUUCUAUGUCCAUAGACGGAUGAAUGGACAAACAAAAUGUAGCAUAUACAUAAAAUGAAAUACUAUUCAUCCUUAAAAUGGAAGGAAAUCCUAUUGGAUGCUACAACAUAGAUGAACCUUGAGGAUAUUAUGUUAAAUAAUUCAGUCACAGAAAGACAAAGAUUGUAUGAUUCCAAUUAUAUGAGGUAUGUAAAGAAGUGAAAUUCAUAGAAACUAAAAGUAGAAUGGUGGUGACCAGGGGCUGGGGGUGGGGAGGGUGAAAAGGGAAGUUGUUUAAUGGGUCUAGAGUUUCAGAUUUGCCAGAGGAAAACUCUGAAGGUAUUUUUCACAACAGUGCAAAUAUACUGAAUACUACUGCCCAUUUAAACUAUAUGCAUCUGUAUCAUCUUAUAGCUAAGAUGUAAAUUUUGCUGUGUUUUUUAACUACAAUAAAAAAAAAAUUACCCAAGUCUUUAGUUUGGCCUAUAAGGCCCAGUGCUACCUGUGUGACAUCCUUUCUUACCAGUCUAUCCCUUGGAUGCUCCCUAAGGACCACGGUGCAUCUGUAUUGGUCUUCAGAUACACCUAGCACACUCCUGCCCUGGGCCUUUACAAUGGCUUUUCUGCUUUUCCCGAUUUAUUUGUAUUAAUUCAUCCCUACUUCAAGUCCUGGUAAAAUGUGACCUCCUCAGAAAGCUUUUCCCUGAUCAUCUAGUAUUCAAUCCCUUACCCUGGAUGAUUUUUCUUUGUGGCACUUCCCACCAUCUGACAUAUAGAUGUAUUUGUUUAUUUUCUUUUUUCCCAGUGGGAACAUAGGUCUCAUUAAAAUAAGGGCUUUAUCUGUUUUAUUGCUUAUUCAUUGGUUUAGACCCAAGUUUGGUAGCAGUGCGUGGUAUAUGAGAGACAUUUAUUUAAUAUUUGUUAAAUACAUAGGUAAAUGAAAAGUCAUUUCUACACCUAGAAUAGGCGAUAAUAAUUGAGCCUUAUAAAUUGAAAUGUUCUUCAUAAUUAUUAUGAAUGUCUUGCAUUGGAACCUCCAAUUCUUUCAUUUUCUACUGGUGUUCAUAGUAUGAGACUCACCACCAUGCAUUACGGUACCUAUCUAGCUCUGCCAACAACAAUUGCCUUAAAAUCAGUUACCAAAACAAUCCAGGAAUGAACUGAUAUCUAGGUAAUGGAUUAUGUCCACUGUGAGACGUGAUGCAAAUCCUCUCCUUCUCAGCCUCCCAAUCUCCAACACCCCUUCUAACAAAAUACCCUACAAAGGGAACAAUGCUUUCAUUCAAAACAAUUGGGAAUAAGAUUUAAUCUUGGAAGAGUCUUGGCCUUUAACUCACAUUCACAAGAAUGAGGGUAAGAGAAGACCAAGGAUGAAGAUAGGUUUGGAUGGAAAUAUGAGACUUGCACUUAAACAUUUUAUAAGUGAAAAUAGAGAGGUUCUAGUUUGAAAACAAAAGACAAGUUGGAUUUUUUAAAAUGUGUUUCACAGUUUCUAAUAACUUCUCUUCUAUAGAAAUCUACUUUGAAAACCUAACAUUGUUCUUAAUAUUCUUUAUAAUUUAAAAGUUGACAUUAACAGAUGUAUUAUAAUAAUCUUUUAAAUGCAAGAGUAGCUGUAUUUCUAAACUGAAUGAUUUGGAACAUAUUUUGCAGAAAUAAAUAUUUGCUUUUGCUUUUGAACUCAAGUAAGUUCAAUUCACUUUGCAAACCUCUUUCAUGUUUCCAGUUCUUAGCUCUAGACAUAAUACCCUCCACAGAUGGUGGAUGUCAUUUGAUACUGGCCUUUUCUAGCAAAUUCACAUAUGUCAGCAAAUGAGCCUAAAACAACUCCAGGUUUCAAAUGCAAAACAUUUGUAAAUUGCACUGAUUCAUAAUCAGGACAACAUAAUAAACUACAAUCUAGUCAUUCUCAGUGGGCCUUAUUCAGCAGAAAAAAAAAGCCAUAGAAUGGAAGCCAAGAGAGGAUGUUGAGUUUGGCUCUUCCAAUGCUAGGCUUUUGGAAAUUCAAUUACUUGCCUGUGGCAAGUACUGAAAUGACAGCCUUGGAGAAUAAAAUCCCUCAUCACGUUAGAACACAGAAUAAAAGGCCAGACUUGCGUGUUAUCACAAAGGCCCACCGAAAUACUUAAUUCCCAGGAACCUCCAUUUUCUUACCAGAAAUAAACACUUGGACGGUCAACACGCUAUGGCUUCUGCCAACCCACUGCCCACCCCCCAGUUUGUCUUGGUAAUUAAACAUCAAGUACCAUUCAUAUUUUAGUAUCAAUCAAUUCAAAUUGUGGUAUAGGAAGGGUUGUAUAAAGACAGAACAUUUCUACUGCUGUCAUUAUUUUUAAGUAUAAGGUUAUUUCUUCUACCCUGAGAGAAGCGAGGGGACACAAAGUCAUAUAACCCAGAACCAGGAUGGCACUUUAAAGAAGUUAGUUUAACUCAAAUUUCGAUGGGGUCUUGUUAAAAAAAAAAAAAAAGUCUGAUCAGAAAAGAGCAUAAACAAGGAAAAAGAUUGAUAUGAUUCUGAGACACUGUCAUAUGGAAAUCAUAUACAUGUGAAACAUCAAAUAAAAUAUUUAGGAAAAUUAAAGUGCCUAAAACCUUGGAUAUUGUCUAGAGCCUUUUUUAUUUUUUAUUUUUUUGUCUUUUUGUCUUUUCUAGAGCCUUUUUUAUAUUUUCAGAGAAUAACUCUCUGCUGUGUUCAUUCUGGAGAAACAAACAGGUCAAUCGGUUCUGCCAUUGCCUUUUGAGAAUUUAAUUAGAGUAAAACCAAGCUAAAAACAAACGAAAAAAAAAGCCAAUAACCUAUUGAACACAUCUGAUGAAUCUAAAUCACGUAGAGUUAGACAAUAUCAAGUUGAUAUUUCACCCUUGGCAGUCAUAAAUGGUCUGCCAACAGAAGACAUAAAGCUGUGAGUGACCAUCUUUCCAUAAAAGUAGAGGCUUUGUGAUUUUAUAAACCCCCAAUCCCCAAGACUCUUCAAUCCUAGGACUUUGUUUAGUGACCGCAAAAGCCUGAGGUAUCCCUCUCUUCUGUUUUUAUCUAACACCCUGCAAUUCUGGGCUAUCCUCUACAGUCUCUCAAUUGCUGGAUGAUUUUUUUUUCCCCUGCAAAGUAAAUGCAGAUGUACUGCAGCUGCAAAUAUUACAGUCUGAGCAUUUCCAUCAAGAAACUUUUUUGAGUUCUAAAAUACAAGCACCCCUGAAAAUUUUAUAAAUAGGCGGGUUGACACAUGAAAGACAUAAGAAAAGACCCUAUUCAGUGUGCAAAUAGAAGUCUUUACUAUUUUUUGUUUUAUUCCAUCCUGUGCACACCAUGUCAAUGUGUUUCUUUUUUUACAUAAAAUAAAUUAAAAAUUAUUCCAAUUUAACCAUACCAGGCUUAUUACUUAAGGUAUCAAUUUUCUAAUCAUUGCUUGAGAAAAAGAACUACAAGUGGAAUAAAUAAUCUAAAUAGUGUCAGUUUAAUCUGAUGAAACUGGGUAAAUUUGACUUUGUGAUAUGUUAAUCAUUUUAUAUUUUAGAUGAUUUGUUUAUACGCAUCUUAUUUUGGAAUGAUUUGAGGCAGGUAAAAAAAGAUGCGGGCAAUCUAGGAAGACAAACUUUUGUUAAAAAGUAAAAGAAACGUAAUUGUGGGGAAAUGAGCAGACAAUUAAAAUGAGUCUCAGCGUGAUGGCCACAAAUAACACAGGCAGUGAAACCCUAUCCACUCAUGGGAGAAGGGCCAGGAUGUUGAUCUCCGUCCCAUGCUUGCUAAUACGUGACAGGAACUAGAAAUCAGAAUCACAGUUUUUGAAAGUCAAAAGCAAACCAGUUGAUUAAGACACACAUAAAUAUCCCUUAUAAUGAGACAAGAGAGAAAUUACUGUGUCUUUAUAGAAAGAUGCUGUCAAAUCUAUUAACAAAAGCCCCUUUUACCAUCCUUCAGAUAAACACAGUGGAAUGUGUAAUGGCACUGCCUCUAUGUAACAUACCCUUACAUAAGGUGAUGGCAUUACAACAAAGCACAGUUGAGUAAAAACCAUCUCUCCUCGGGAUAGUAUCUUGUAGUCCACACAGAAUUCUCUUUGAGAGUCUGGCUUAAUUCAGAGGGGGAUUUUAUUGCAAAGGCAACGCACAAGCAAUAAAUAUAUGUUUCAUGGCAUUUUUUUCUUCUUAGAAGCUAACACAUAUUAAAAUUGAGCCUCUGAUCGCAUUCUAGGCUAUAAGCUUCUUGUGAACAAAAACAAAACUGUGUCCUCAGUUCUACUAAAGCAUCUGACACACAGUAGGGAAGUGAACAUUUGUUCAAUACUGAAUGGAGGCAUAAUUUUCAGAAAUUUCCACAAUUAUCACUCUUCUCACUCAAGCAUUUCAGGAUUUUCUCCCUGACCAGCACCUGGAGAGUGAGUAAUAUGUAUGCUAGAUCCAUGUGGACUCUUUGCCUUUUCCUCUCUUAACUCUCUGAUGCUGGCUGAGUUACUUCUCUGAAGCAUGUGCACAAUAAUUCAAGCUUCUCAUGGCUUCUAUGGAGACUGAGAUAAAGGCAUCUAGAACUGUGCCAGAAACAGGUAGGCAAUACAUGUCAGCAUCCUGUUUGUGUUCAGUUAAUGUCUUUCCUCAGUGGCUUCAUAACAAAUGCCCAUAUGCUCCUGAAGCCUAGGAAUGUGACGCGGAAGAACACAUACUUCCUAUGUAAAAUUUCAAUGCAACAGAAUAAUGUACGUGCUCUGCCAUGAAGUUGGUCUUGUUUCUCUUUGCUUGAUCCUUAUGAUACUCUGUAACUCAUCAGUUCCUAAGUAGGACAAACAUGGUAGAUAAACAUACCUGGUACCAAAAGAUCAUAUAAAAACUUUCAGCAAUUGAAGUUUGGGUGGAGGAAGUUGGGGGGUAGAGGGCAGGAAACGGUCUUAAUAUUAGUGUCCCCAUUAGAAGAAAGCUACCCCUAAUUUAGACAAUUGAUUCUCAGUUUGUAGUUUUUAUCAUAUAAAAAUUAAAAUAAAUUUUAUAGAAAUAUUUGAUGUUUUUCCACAAUGAAUGUCUCAAUGGUCCAUUUUUGUUCCCUUUUCUAUAUUGAGGUACUAUUAAGCUGAACCUGCUUUGAAGUGUUCCUCAGAGAUGAUCAAUGAGAAAAUAUCCCCUGUUGUGUGAAGUCAAUCCUUUGACAGUUCUUGUUCACAUACUUUUAAUGUUAAAUAGUGUAUGCCAAAUUUAUUCAAAUAUACGUAUCACUAUCCUUAUUUUCCUAUUUUAGUUUCAGCUUUUUUUUAACUAAAAAUAGUGCAUUUCAAGGUUUUCUACUUAAUUAUGUGCUUUUUAAAGAUGAUAAAAUAUAAUGUGCUUGAAAUUAUGCUAUUUCCAUGAAUAGAGAACCUUUCUAAGGGUAGCUAAAACAUCAAGCAAUUGAAAUAAUGCCAUCCCUCCACAUCAUUCGAUGUCCUGUUAAAAGAACCUGGAAGCACAAUCAAAGGAAUCUUAUUAUUAGAAAUCAGAAAAAAACAUGGUCCUAGAACCUUAGAUCAGUCAUGCGUCACCCAAUAACAAAGUCAAGGAAGGCAUUACACAUUGUCUACUGCAGGCUGAGCAAUCAGGGAAGCAGACCCUACACUGAAUAUUAGUCUGGAGAAUGAUUAUUAGGGAGACUUUCUCAGAUUAGCACCUGCAGAGAGAAAGGGAUACAAAGGAAACAGAUUUUGGCAGAGAAAGAUGUUGCUCUUGGAUGCGGUCAUAAGGAAAGCCUUAAGCAACCAUGUGGGGGGCUUUGCACUGAGCAUGGCCCUGGAGAGCUUUUAAGAAUUUGAGUGAGGAAGCUGAGACUUUAUGUCUCCAUGUCAAGGGGGGCAUGACUGUGGGCAAGAUAAUUCCUCUCAACUGAGGCAAUUCUACAGAAGGCUGAUGACUGUGAGCUGGAUGUUGGAGGCACACCCAACAGCUGAAGGAGAAUAUCCUUUAUUCCUCAAGGAGAUCCUGGGCGGCAUAUCAUAGCAUCUACUACUAUACUAUUUUUUCCCUUACAUUUUUGCUAAAGCCACUUUUUAAUAAACAUAUUUAUGUAAACCCUUAAAAACCAUCAUUAAUAUCUCUAUGAAAGAAAUGAUAAAAUAAGCUGUUUGCAAAACAAAGCCACAAGCAUAGAAUUACAUUUUUUGAAGGCUUCAAUGACUAUAGGUAAUUGCCCAGCCAAAAUAUUUAACAGAUGGAGAGACUGAGGUAUUAGAAAAAGGGUUUUGUCCUGAGUCACAGUGUUGGUUAGUAGAGACUCAGAUCUCUCUGCUCCACCAUUCUUUACCCUAUACUAUCCUAUACCUAGUGUUUCCCAUUUGCUCUAUAAUGAAUCUGUUUCCUAGUAAUCCUAAAUUUAAAUGAUCUAUACAAGUUGGGGGAAAAUAAACAUAUAUACAAAAACCUUAAAUGUUUGAAAGAUAGGAUGCUAUAUUUUUAUGAAUUCCCAACCUUUCUAAGACUAUAUCCAUGCCUUCCAUCAUCUUCCUUAAUAAAGAGGGAUAUGUGAUAUUGGGGAAAUUAGAAUUUACCUCUUUUGGUUUCCCUGAGGUGUCAGAGCAGGAAAACUGCUAGAACCACAUUUAUUAGUUCUUGUACAUUGUACCAAUCUAAGGAAAUGCACUGUGAGGCCAUGCUAGAGCCACAUUUAACUGGAUUAUUAGAUAUGGAAGAAAACAGUAAGGUUGACCACACAAUAUUCCUUGUGGAUUUAAGCCCUCUAGAAGUUCUACCACAGGAGUUGUUUCUGGGUAUUGCAUAAAUGAAUUACCCAGGACACCUAAGGAUCUUUGCCAAAGAAUACAUUGUAGUGCACCUCAUCUUAGCCUAAGUAAUCAAUUUAGUUCUACUUUUAUAUCUGGUUUCAGUCUCUAAAAUCAAAACACUCAAGAAAAGAAAUGGAGGUCUAAUAAUUACGGCUAGUCUAACCUUACCAAAAAGAAACCAAAAAUUGAAAACAAUUGCAGAUCCCCCUGAAAUUAUGGAAUUUGAUUGAAAGUAUUUUCACCAUUGGCUGCUAACAAAGUUUCAGGAUGAACCAGUUGGGAGAUGGUAGGAUGUUCAUGGAUUAUGUCCCAUCCACUAUAUUGAACUCACCAGCCCAUGUCUCCACUCAAUCAAAUAACAAUGCGUGCUGAUAACCAAAGGUCAGGAUACUGUUGCCCGUGCUGGAACAUAGAAUACCUCCUAUGCAGACAAGUACAGGUACUGUCAGUGACGAUGCUGUUGCCUCUAAUGGUGUCCACCACAGUUGAUACUGACUAGCCGAAGGUGGAGCCAGAACCCAUUCAUACCAGAGAGCCUGACCAGUUACAACCUACAGAGCAGCUGGGAGAGAGAUGGAAAGUCUCUUUCAUGGCAUGAAAAUGAAGGUCCAGAAAUUGCACAUGAAACCUGCAAAUGAAUGUAUCUUCGAAACCGAGGAAGGAAAGGAGAUGAGUGAUCUGGGAGAUGUCGCAUAGAGGGAAUUGACAAAAACUGGAGAGAAUAAAGUUUGAAAAGGAAGAGCUGUCAAGGAGGACAACCAGGUUUCCCAUCUGAGAGACCAGGUAAUGACUGAAACUCAUGAACUGAGUAAAUGAUAUUCUACUGGAGAGGGAGAGGGUAGAGAGAUGAAUUCAAUUUUACUCAUAACAAAUGGCCAAGAUUUCACUGCUGUAAUACCAACACUAUCUCACCUGAAAUGAUUUCACUAUUUGGCUCCUAAAGAUAGCAGUGCAAAAAGGUUCCAAAUUUAUUUGUGUAUUUGAACAAUUAAGCUGUUUUUUAAAAAAAAAAUACACAAAGAAUCAUAUUAUGUAAAGGUAAAAGAACCAAAAAACAACAUCACCUGAACGAUUUAUCUAUAAUGUAUGGAUCUUACCCUAACAUAAGCCCCAAUGGAACAUUUCGGCUCAAUAAAAUCAGGACACUCCAGACAUAGUCUAAUAAUCCUUAGCUACUAUCAGACUGUUAUUAGCCUCAGGCUGAGCCCAUAAAUGCACAACAAAGUCAAGUAUGGUAAAUACAAAAGAUAAGUCUAAGAAAAAGAAAUCCCAAACAUUCUGGCUCAAUUAUAAAAUAUUUCAGACAAAAGCAGAAGUCAAAUAUAUUUCUUCUUGAGUGUCUCCCACAGAACACAGGUAAAUAGAUGACACUCUUGAAAUACCGCUUGAAUGUGUUUAUGAAUUAUCUAGAUAACUGAUUGUUUUCAUAUUUAUGCUGCUUACGUGAAAUGUAGGUUAUUAAAGUGUUCUGUGUGUGUAUCUAAACAAUAUCACAUGUUCGUGUCUCCUCACUAUGGUCAUUCACACAUUUAUGAAUCUGUGAAUCUAUAUAUGACAAUUAAUGCUGACCCAGAAAGCUUUCCCUUUCUUGGCCCAAAGGGUACACUAAUUCGAUUCAAGGGAUCUAAUAUGUUGCAGGAAACAUUUUUGAAAAGAUUUCUCAACAUAAUUUGUUGCUUUGGCUAUCAUCAGACUUGGUUAAUCUAAAUCUUAGUUUGCAAUUUCAUUCUCUUGUGCAAAUGUGUCUAAAAACUCGAAAUGUAAUGCCACACUAUUUUCAACUGUCUGGUUACUGUUUAAAUAUAGCAGGCAAGAAAGCCAUGAAAAUAGACCAAUCAAACACAAAUGAACAGAGUCUGACUAAAUUCUUCAUCUUUAUUAAAAUACAUGUUUCAUUAUUUUCAAAUGAACUUUUUUUGCUGUUAAAAGAUAUUUUGUGAAAUUAUUUAUGAUGUUUUCAGUGAAAGGAUCUCCAUUUUAUACCUUCCACUUAUAAAGAGCCUAUAUUACGCAUAAAGUGAGGUUUAUCUCAAGGUUACUUUCCCGCUGAUAGACUGCUCACUGCUGACAACAGGUCAGUGACUCAUGAAACUACUAGGCUAGUUUUCACUUAAUACUCCAAUUAAGCGAAACAAUGCGAUGCAUCUACCUUGUUUUCAUGUUCCAUAAUGAUGCUAAUAUAGUGUGUGAAAAUCCACUAACGAGAUCCACCUGAAGAAAUGACUACCUCCCACAAAAAUGUCUGAUCAUGCCUUUAGUGAUAUUUUGUAAGCUUUAACGGAUCCCCAGAAUCCGACCCUGUAAAUAGCCAACCUGCCACUCAUUUACUGAGGAAAGUGGGUGAGAGUCAAUCUUUGACAAAGAUGAACAAAAAACAGCCAACUUCUUUUAGAUGUGAAAUGUAUUUUUCCUUGAACUCCAACUCUUUCAUAAAUAUUUCCUUUGACAGAUUUUUUUUCAUUCCCCUAUAUUUCUCUGUUUGUGGUUAAUGGUGCAGAACUAUCACUCUUUUAAAUGUCAAAUUAUCAUUUCUUAUUCAUACUUCUUGACAAUUGCUACCCUCUAAAUAUAUUAUUUAGAAUUAUUUGCAGAGUGUAGCAAAAUGGUAUAGCUGCUAUUCUGUUCAAAGUUUUAUACAAAGAUAAGUUUUCUUAAACCAAUUUUUGUUCUCAGUAUGGGGUACUGCAUUAUAACACACUGCUAGAAGAUUAUUAUGAAAUGUCAAACAUCUAUUAGAGCCUAUAUUGCUUUUCAAAAUAAUAUAUAUUUGUUAAACAUCUACUGUGAGUAUUGCACUAUAUUAUAUAUUAUAGCAGUACAUAGUCUGGAGAAGACAAGUUCCUGACCUUGAGGAGUCUGUCACCAAUCUCCUAGCUGGAUAACAAUAAAGGCAUAGUCUACUUAAAAAAAAAAAAAAAAAAAA